GCCUAACACAUGCAAGUCGAACGAGAAACCAGUUCUUCGGAGCUGGAAGUAAAGUGGCGCACGGGUGAGUAACGCGUGAGUAACCUACCCUCAUGACUGGGAUAACGGCGGGAAACUGUCGCUAAUACCGGAUGAAGUCCGGAGCCGAUGGGCUACUGGACCAAAGGAGGCCUCUCCAUGGAAGCUUCCGCAGGGGGAUGGGCUCGCGUCCCAUUAGCUAGUUGGUAGGGUAAUGGCCUACCAAGGCGACGAUGGGUAGCCGGCCUGAGAGGGUGUCCGGCCACACUGGAACUGAAAUACGGUCCAGACUCCUACGGGAGGCAGCAGUGAGGAAUUUUGCGCAAUGGACGAAAGUCUGACGCAGCGACGCCGCGUGGGCGAUGAAGCUUCUUGGAGUGUAAAGCCCUGUCAGGUGGGACGAACCCGCGGGGGGUGAAUAACCUUUCGCGCUGACGGUACCACCAGAGGAAGCCCCGGCUAACUCCGUGCCAGCAGCCGCGGUAAUACGGAGGGGGCAAGCGUUGUUCGGAAUUACUGGGUGUAAAGGGUGCGCAGGUGGUCCGCUCAGUCUGAUGUGAAAUCCCUGGGCUCAACUCAGGAAGUGCAUCGGAAACUGGCGGGCUAGAGUACCGGAGAGGGAAGCGGAAUUCCUGGUGUAGCGGUGAAAUGCGUAGAUACCAGGAGGAACACCGGUGGCGAAGGCGGCUUCCUGGCCGAGUACUGACACUCAUGCACGAAAGCGUGGGGAGCAAACGGGAUUAGAUACCCCGGUAGUCCACGCUGUAAACGAUGGGUACUAGGUGUUGGAGGUAUCGACCCCUCCAGUGCCGCAGCUAACGCAUUAAGUACCCCACCUGGGGAGUACGUUCGCAAGAAUGAAACUCAAAGGAAUUGACGGGGGCCCGCACAAGCGGUGGAGCAUGUGGUUUAAUUCGACGCAACGCGAAGAACCUUACCUGGGUUUGAACUUCGGGUGACAGCCCCUGAAAGGGGGACUUCNUUCGGGACACCUGGAGAGGUGCUGCAUGGCUGUCGUCAGCUCGUGUCGUGAGAUGUUGGGUUAAGUCCCGUAACGAGCGCAACCCCUAUCCUUAGUUGCCAGCGGGUCAAGCCGGGAACUCUAAGGAACCCGCCGGUGACAAACCGGAGGAAGGUGGGGAUGACGUCAAGUCCUCAUGGCCUUUAUGUCCAGGGCUACACACGUGCUACAAUGGACGGUACAAAGGGUUGCCAAGCCGCGAGGUGGAGCUAAUCCCAAAAAGCCGUUCUCAGUUCGGAUUGGAGUCUGCAACUCGACUCCAUGAAGGUGGAAUCGCUAGUAAUCGUGGAUCAGCAUGCCACGGUGAAUACGUUCCCGGGCCUUGUACACACCGCCCGUCACACCACGAAAGUUGGUUGUACUAGAAACCGCCGAGCUAACCCGUCAAGGGAGGCAGGCGUCUAAGGUAUGGCCAGCGAUUGGGGUGAAGUCGUAACAAGGUAGCUGUAGGAGAACCUGCGGCUGGAUCACCUCCUU
rnacentral:rRNA from 1 species